CUCUUUACCACUUUGUCUGCAAGACUGCAACUUUAGGGUUUGCAUUUUGAGGUCCUCCUCGAUUUGUGGUUGCUAUUGGGUCUGUGAAAUCGAUACGAGUAUCUUUGCCUCUGAGCUGUGAUGGCCGAUGCUGCGAUGCGUUCUUUGGCUUCAGAGGCAUAGAUUUUCGCACCUGUUUCGCUAACUCUCUCUACAGUGUUCUCCUUCGACCAUGUGUAGGGAGUGGCAAAUUCAAUGGUAUCAGCGUGGAUAAAGUGGCAAACCAAGUAAAAAUAGAAGAAUAACACAAAGAAAGAAAGAAAGUAGAAGCUCAUGUAGUCAAAGGAGCAUGGAAGCUUCAAGAUUUCUUCUUAGAAGAUUGUGAUUGUGCUGAUUGUGGGCUUGAGCUAGUGUGAGCUCUUGGGUUGGACGUAUUGCUUAAAAGGUUCAAGUAAUGCAGGGGUUGAGACCUCUAGCGGCAGGAGGCCGGAGCUUAGCUGAUUUAUAUGAUGAUGUGAUGAUUAUGCUUGGAUGCUGGACAUGUCUGUUGCUAACAACUUUUGUUGUUAGCUUAUUUAUUAUGUGGCUGUUGAUGAAACUGUUGUUGGGUUGUGUUGUCUUAUUUGGUGAGCAGGAUUGUCCAUGCCACAUUAUUUUUGACUGUGUCUUGUUUUAGAUUCGUGUUGUAAUAAUGUAUCAGGAUUAUGUCCGGACUACGUGUUGUAGUUCCGUGAUUUUAGAUACUCACUGUUACUUAUAUUA